GUGUUCCAAGGCAGUACAUAUACUACAUUGUAACAUACAGAGAAGAUUAGCAUGGCCCUUUCACAAGGAUGACACAUAAAUUCAUGAAGUAUUUCAUAUUUUU